GGGGUUGUGGCUCAGUGGUGGAGUACUUGCCUGGUAUGUAUGAGGCACUGGGUUCAAUUCUCAGCACCACA
rnacentral:tRNA from 1 species